UACGUAGGUGGCAAGCGUUGUCCGGAUUUACUGGGCGUAAAGAGCGCGCAGGCGGUCGUUCAAGUCGAGUGUGAAAGCCCCCGGCUCAACUGGGGAGGGUCACUCGAUACUGAUCGACUCGAAGGCAGAAGAGGGAAGCGGAAUUCCCGGUGUAGUGGUGAAAUGCGUAGAUAUCGGGAGGAACAUCAGUGGCGAAGGCGGCUUUCUGGUCUGCUCUUGACGCUGAGGCGCGAAAGCUAGGGUAGCAAACGGG
rnacentral:rRNA from 1 species